rnacentral:lncRNA from 1 species
GCUGAAGAUCCAGCCCUCCAGCAUGGCUCUGUUGAUGAGCACAGUGCACUUCGUGUGUCAUAUGUGAGACUGCAGGAGGCCAAUGUCCAGCCAUUGGGAGGAGGCCUCAAACAUUCAGGGGCCCUGGCCCCUUUCCUACAGGUAUUGAGGGGACCAAAGACCCCUUAGCCCCCUAGUGUUGGCACGCCUGCUACCUCCUGCCUUUGCCCUGCCCUGAGCGUACCAGGCAAAGGAAGUACAGUCCUUUGUAACUUAUAAAGUAGCAUUAUAUGCGUUGGCAGCUAAGAAGAUCAGGAGAAAAGAGCUAGAUGAAAUAGCGGUCAACUACAAAGGGGAUUUGGACAUUUAAACUGGCAUAUUUUAUCUGAGAUUUCCCUGCUAGUCUAGCUUAUGCAACAAAUAAUCUCUAGGAGACGUGUCCGUGGUUUGUUGCACCGGUAGUUCUAAAUGUUUUUUUAAAAUGUUUUUAUGGUUAUUGCUGUUUUUACUUUUGUUCCCCCUGUGAACGAUGCGAUGGCCUUUGGCUAACGCAAUAAAGUUUAUGAAUGAAUGAAAAAGUACAGUUGUACAUCUACUUCUGUAUCCCUCUGGAUACAGAAUCUUUGGGUUACGGCCACAGCAAACCCAGAAGUGUAUACUUCUGGGUUUUGCCAUGCGCACAUGCACAGAAGCGCUCAAUUGCGCCAUGCACGUGCGCAGAAGCGUGCCUCUAUUUACAUAAUUUCCAGGUGUGAACAGACCUCCAGAACGAAUUAAGUUUAUAUCCAGAGGGUCCACUCUAUGAUGAUUCUGACGGGAACGCGCUAGGUCUCCCCCUUAAGCAGAUCCCACUAGCCAUCAUAUAUGAGCCUCCAGCCCAGACAGCAUCCACAGAGGCCCAUGCAAACUUACAGCAGCCGUAUAUGGCAAGCCUGCCCUACUUCCCAGGCAUUGGGUUGGGCUUUAAUUGUGGGAGUACAAGUCCCUACAUGCAGGGCUGUACCAACAAUGAAACACAGUGAAGCUGUGAAUAAAGGCAGCAGAUUCCUGAGAGGGUACCAGCUUCCCCCCUCUUCCUCUAAUCAUUACCACCUUUGCAUCAUUAAAAAAAAAAUGCAUGUGGAGAAAGGAAUAUUAUUGCACUUCUUAAAUGUGCAAAGCUAUAGUGCUCAUUUUGCAUGGAAAAUUGCCCCCUUCAAGAAGUGCUUGAAGAAUUCAAUCCUUGUGAUCUCUGGUGGGAACUGAUCUGAUCCUGCAGCUCCUAGACUAAUGUGCAGAUUACAGAGUUUCAGAUGAUACCAACUGGGAUCUUCUGCUUUUUAAAAAAAACGCUGCACUUAGAAGGUUUGUUGAAAGAGGCAACUCUUCAACAUACACCGAAAAGAAUAUCCUGUAUCUGCGUAAUAUAUAAAGAGGGGGAGUUUUAGAGGGUAGGUGCCACCACACUAAAGGCCCAAUUCUGGCAUCGUGCAGAAUGUACCUCCUUAUAAAGAUGAUAUCAAUCAAUCAAUAUUUUAUUGCGGUCCAAAGACCCAUAAAACAUAAAACAAUUUCAAAACUAGAUACAGUUAAAAUGACCAGACAGACAGAUGGAAGAAACCAAGGCAGUCAUUUUGUUUUAUCUAGGGCAUAAUGAUCUUUAUUUAUUAUAACCCCUGAAAAAAACUUUGCCACGGCCAGUGGAAUAUCGUUUGACGUAUCUUCCAAAAGAUAUUUAAUAUGGGAGGCUUCAGAUUUUCCUGGCAAAUUUGCCAGUAAGGGUUUGAUCAGUUGAUCCCUUGCUUGCUCAUAUUGCCCAAAAUGCAGUAGGAUAUGCUUCAUAUAAUCGACGUCCUGGGAACAUAAACAAAGCCAAUUCUGAUGGGGGAUGCCUCUCAGUCUGCCAUUGAGAACUUCUGAGGGAAAUACAUUUAGUCUGGCUUUGGUAAAUAAACGCCAAUAGGUAGGUACAGACAAAUUUGUAGGGUAUGAGGAUACCUGAAAGUCGUACCUGUAUUGGAUUCCAGCUGCAACAGGGAUACAAAUUACAUAUGAUUGGGGUCACAGGUUGCUAUGUGAGAUGUCCCAAAGCCUUUGCCUCAGGGAUUCAAUGGCAAUGUCGUAACCCAGAUGAUAUAAGAGGGAUGAUGGCAGUCCAAUCAAGGAGGCUUUUCUGGCCAUAGUUUUCAGCCAUAGGCUGACAAAUUCUCAUUGUACUAAAUGUACUAAUUCUUGUUGUACUAAAUGUACUAAUAAUCCCUUCCCCAUGCCAAAUACUGAGAUCUUGAGCCAGUAUCUCAAUGCAACUCACCAUGUUUUGAAGGAGAGUGGGCAUUCACCUGUUUCCAGAAACAGAAUUGAAUUUGGGACACAGUUUGGGACCUGUAAUAGGGACCAAAGAAAGAUGUCUUCUCCAGCAGAACUCAGCAGUCAGUUGAGUAUUUAUAAUAUACCAUUUUAAGUUUCCUGGUCCCAAGCUAUAUAUGGCUUUGUUCACCUGUACAAGCAGCUUGGAAUUAGGCAGUUAGCUGAUGGGCAGCCAAUGCCAUUCUUUCUGGCAUAAUACGAUGGUGAUAUUCUUCCCCAAGGAGCAGUCGAGCCACUGCACUUUUGCACUAGCUGCAGCUUCCAGGUCAUUCUCACUCUAUAUAUGGCAGUAAUCCAAUCUGGAGGUCACCAGCACAUGGACCAAAGCUGGGAAAAGGCAAUCCUAACCACUGAGGUCACUUGGGGCACUAGCGACAGAGAUGGAUCCAGUAGUAGCACACCCUGCCUCUAUGAACCUGCUCCUUCAACAGGAGUGUGGCCCCAUCCAAAACAGGCAAUAGCCCCAUUAUCCAAACUCAGGAACCACCCCUACAGCAUCUCUGCUGACUUGCAUGGUUCCUGUGUGGGGAAAAUAGAAUCCAAAUACAUUUUGUAGAAAUGCAUAUUUUGAGCAAAAUACAUUUAUACUGAUAUUUUUUUUCUUAUUCACCAAUUUAUACAGAAAAGAAACAGAACAAAUUUGCAAGUAAACACAUACAACAGUGAUAUCCAUCUGGAGAUAGACUGAUUUGACCAUCCCUCUUUGGAUCCACAUCAGUUCAUCUGGGACAGAUUUAGUUUGGAGUGAUUGGCUACUAUGGUCUCCUGCCUCGUGGAUCUCUGACUGGGCUACAUCUUGAGCUUCUGGCUGGCGGCAGCUUGGAGAUUCACACAAAGGUGUGAAAUGGAGAAGACCACAAGAACAUUUCCAUGGCUGUCUUAGGAAAUUUCUUCUCGCUAUAGCAGUUUGGAACAGCAAGCUGGAGCUGGUAUCUUGGGUUCACCUGAGUUAUCAUUGACAAGAACCAUGCAUAUAUGGCUGUGGACAUCAUGAAACCUUAUAAUUAAUAUAUCAGGCUUCUACUUCAAAGGCAGGAUGUCCAAAUCCUCUUGUGGGUGUGGGUGAUUGCAGGA